AGCGAUGAAGCUUCCUUCGGGAAGUGGAUUAGCGGCGGACGGGUGAGUAACACGUGGGUAACCUGCCUCAUAGUGGGGGAUAGCCUUUCGAAAGGAAGAUUAAUACCGCAUAAUAUUACGUUAUCGCAUGGUAAUGUAAUUAAAGGAGUAAUUCGCUAUGAGAUGGACCCGCGUCGCAUUAGCUAGUUGGUGAGGUAAUGGCUCACCAAGGCGACGAUGCGUAGCCGACCUGAGAGGGUGAUCGGCCACAUUGGGACUGAGACACGGCCCAGACUCCUACGGGAGGCAGCAGUGGGGAAUAUUGCACAAUGGGCGAAAGCCUGAUGCAGCAACGCCGCGUGAGUGAUGACGGCCUUCGGGUUGUAAAGCUCUGUCUUCAGGGACGAUAAUGACGGUACCUGAGGAGGAAGCCACGGCUAACUACGUGCCAGCAGCCGCGGUAAUACGUAGGUGGCAAGCGUUGUCCGGAUUUACUGGGCGUAAAGGGAGCGUAGGUGGAUGUUUAAGUGGGAUGUGAAAUUUUCGGGCUCAACCCGGAACCUGCAUUCCAAACUGGAUAUCUAGAGUACAGGAGAGGAAAGGAGAAUUCCUAGUGUAGAGGUGAAAUUCGUAGAUAUUGGGAAGAACACCAGUGGCGA
rnacentral:rRNA from 1 species